GGAUUCGUAUAGCGGCAGUACGGUAGCUUCCCAAGCUACAAACGCGGGUUCAAUUCCCUCUCCA
rnacentral:tRNA from 1 species